AAGUAUUAACGUGUAUUUCCUAGACCGAGAGGUCCGGGUAGACCUCUGAACCACUUUCAUGCUUGGUAUUGUGAACUGAAACUUUUCACAUGAAC
rnacentral:rRNA from 1 species